rnacentral:rRNA from 1 species
UACGGAGGGUGCAAGCGUUAUCCGGAUUUACUGGGUUUAAAGGGUGCGUAGGCGGGCCCUUAAGUCCGUGGUGAAAGCUCCGAGCUUAACUCGGAAACUGCCAUUGAUACUAUAGGUCUUGAAUUCGGUCGAGGUUGGCGGAAUGUGUCGUGUAGCGGUGAAAUGCUUAGAUAUGACACAGAACACCGAUUGCGAAGGCAGCUAGCUAGACCGACAUUGACGCUGAGGCACGAAAGCGUGGGGAUCAAACAGG